CCUACGGGUGGCAGCAGUGGGGAAUAUUGGACAAUGGGCGAAAGCCUGAUCCAGCCAUGCCGCGUGUGUGAAGAAGGCCUUCGGGUUGUAAAGCACUUUCAGUGGGGAAGAAAGCCUUGGGGCUAAUACCCUCGAGGAAGGACAUCACCCACAGAAGAAGCACCGGCUAACUCCGUGCCAGCAGCCGCGGUAAUACGGAGGGUGCGAGCGUUAAUCGGAAUUACUGGGCGUAAAGCGCGCGUAGGCGGUCUGAUAAGCCGGUUGUGAAAGCCCCGGGCUCAACCUGGGAACGGCAUCCGGAACUGUCAGGCUAGAGUGCAGGAGAGGAAGGUAGAAUUCCCGGUGUAGCGGUGAAAUGCGUAGAGAUCGGGAGGAAUACCAGUGGCGAAGGCGGCCUUCUGGACUGACACUGACGCUGGGGUGCGAAAGCGUGGGUAGCAAACAGGAUUAGAUACCCGGUAGUC
rnacentral:rRNA from 1 species